AUUGAACGCUGGCGGCAGGCUUAACACAUGCAAGUCGAGCGGAGAUGAGGUGCUUGCACCUUAUCUUAGCGGCGGACGGGUGAGUAAUGCUUAGGAAUCUGCCUAUUAGUGGGGGACAACAUUCCGAACGGAAUGCUAAUACCGCAUACGUCCUACGGGAGAAAGCAGGGGAUCUUCGGACCUUGCGCUAAUAUAUGAGACUAAGUCGGAUUAGCUAGUUGGUGGGGUAAAGGCCUACCAAGGCGACGAUCUGUAGCGGGUCUGAGAGGAUGAUCCGCCACACUGGGACUGAGACACGGCCCAGACUCCUACGGGAGGCAGCAGUGGGGAAUAUUGGACAAUGGGGGGAACCCUGAUCCAGCCAUGCCGCGUGUGUGAAGAAGGCCUUAUGGUUGUAAAGCACUUUAAGCGAGGAGGAGGCUACUGAGACUAAUACUCUUGGAUAGUGGACGUUACUCGCAGAAUAAGCACCGGCUAACUCUGUGCCGGCAGCCGCCGCGGUAA
rnacentral:rRNA from 1 species